AGAGUGUAUGCACAUAAACAUCUAUGUAGUACACUUCAUCCUAGCUUCAAGCACACUUGAAGACCUUCCUCCAUGGAAAGCAAAUGCAUACACACACUCUCACAAGCUCUUAGCAUACUUGGACAUGAAAGCAAGGACUAUCUUGACUCUAUAUAAACACACUUAGCACUUUGUGCCCAUAUAGAAGAUCUAAUCUUUGUGCAUAUGCAUAGUGGCCACUUCUUAAGCGCUAUUUGCACACACUUGGGACAACUCUAAAACUGAUGCACAGGGCCACUCUUGAGAUGCCAUGUGUUAUGAAUCAUGUCUCCCCACACCUGAAAACUUC
rnacentral:lncRNA from 1 species